rnacentral:rRNA from 1 species
AUGCCGUAUGUCCAGGCCCCCGAUGACACCACCCAAUUUCCAGCGCAUAACUCUGGACCGCAAGAAUACCGCACCUCUGAUUUACAUACAGAUGAUAAUGAGGAUAUACAAGAUGAGGAUUUUGGUGACAAUGAGGUCAAUGCAACACAACCCAGGAAAUUUGUUAGUGCAAGGGAGUACUACUGCUUCAAGCUACAGGUCAGGAAGAAGCUUUUUAACAUCAUCUUGUUUGGUGGGCGCCUUUUCCAACAGUGGGCAGUUGAUAUGUAUAUCAAGAUUGAGACUAUGAGGUUGGACUGGUACUCAAAGCCAGAAAAUCAAAAGGUUAUACGAGCUGAUCUCUACCAGGGUCUUGUUGACACCAUCGUUGCCGGCGAGUCACGCGGUGAUCGAAUUGGCAAGAGAAUCGUGCUUCCACGUACGUUUCCUGGUGGUGAUCGCGACAUGCAGCGGAGGUUGCUGGAUGCGAUGGCAAUAGUCCAACGGUGGGGUAAACCGGAUUAUUUUAUCACGAUGACUUGCAAUCCCUAUUGGGAGGAGAUAACCCAUAAUCUGAUGCAUGGACAACUGCCACAAGACCGUCCAGACCUUGUGGCAAGAGUAUACAAGGCUAAACAAGGAGAUAUGAUGGACUUGCUAACUAAGGGUAAGCAUUUCGGAGAAGUCGCAGCUUCUGUACAUGUCACCAAGUAUCAGAAACGAGGCCUUCCUCAUGAGCAUAUACUUUUAAUCAUGAAAACAAAUAGCAAGUUAGCAUCCCCAGAUGACUAUGAUCGGGUGAUAUCCGCAGAGAUACCUGACAAAGAGAAACGCCCCAUUCUGCAUGACCUGGUUGUCAAACACAUGCUGCACGGACCCUGUGGUGAGUUGAAAAAGAGUUGUCCUUGCAUGAUUGAGGGACAGUGUAGGUUUCAUUAUCCGCGAGAUUUUUGUGAUGCCACACAACAAGGGAAAGACUCUUAUCCCAUCUAUCGGAGGAGGGACGAUGGGCGUGGAGUUAGGAUCAGAGGAGCGAAUUUGGACAAUAGAUGGGUGGUCCCAUACAACCCUUCUUUGCUUAUGCGAUACAACUGCCACAUUAAUGUGGAAGCAUGCUCGAGCAUCAAGGUAGUCAAGUAUUUGUUCAAGUACAUCUAUAAAGGCCAUGAUCGGACGUCCUUUGCAUUCGAGCAGGACAUAAUCAAUGAUGGUGGAAUCAUCAAUGAAAUCCGACAAUAUAGGGAUGCACGCUACGUAUCUCCUCCAGAGGUUAUUUACAGGAUUUUUGGUUUCAAAAUGUUUGGUGUCAGUCCAUCAGUGCUGCAGCUCCAGCUUCAUUUGCCAAACAUGCAUACAAUUGCAUUUAAAGGUCGUGAAAAUCUAGAAGAUGUUGUCGCUCGACCAUCUUCAUCCAGGUCCAUGCUUACCGAGUACUUUGAGAUGAACCGGAGGAAUCCGCAAGCACAGAAAUUGUUGUACACAGAGUUUCCAGAGCAUUGUAGAUGGAUAGCUGGAAAAAAGAAGUGGCAGAAGAGAAGAAAUAACAGAUCACAGAUUGGAAGACUUGUGUGUGCACACCCUGCUGAAGGAGAGAGGUACUACUUGCGUGUGCUGCUAAGUCAUGUUCGAGGUGCCACUUCUUUUGAUGAUUUAAAAACAGUAAAUGACAACCUAUGCACUUCCUUCAGAGAGGCAUGUGAGCACUUAGGCCUCAUUGAGCACGACAAGACUCUUCAUGAUUGCAUGACAGAGGCAGCCACAUUUCAGAUGCCUUCUGCCCUAAGACGGUUGUUUGCAACUAUAUUGGUAUUUUGCGAGGCAACAGAAAUCCGACAAUUGUUGGAUAAACAUCUACCAUCAAUGUGUGAGGACUACAGUCGUAAUGAAUCCAAUGAGUCGGUACUUGAGCGGCUGGUCCUUCGAGAUAUUAGGGAUAUGUUGCAAUCUAUGGGAAAGGAUAUUAAGAGCUAUGGACUUCCGGAUCUGGUUGAGACCGAUGGUUCUUAUGACAGUGAAUACAGAGAGGUAACAGAGGAGUGGCAAAUCACCGCGGACACAGAACAUCUAGAUCUAUUUAGCAGUUUGAACCAUGAGCAGCUAGCUGGUUUCAAUGACAUAAUGGAUCAUGUGAUGAACAAAAAAAGCCAGAUAUUCUUUGUUGAUGGUCCAGGAGGAACUGGGAAGACGUACUUGUACAAGGCAUUGCUAGCAAAGGUGCGUUCCAUGGGCGAAAUUGCGAUUGCAACUGCUACAUCUGGUAUUGCAACGUCGAUAAUGCCUGGAGGACGCACAACACACUCCCGGUUCAAAAUUCCAAUCAAGCUCACUGACAACAGUAUGAGUGGUUUCACAAAACAGAGUGGUACAGCGGAGUUGCUUAGACAGGCGUCCCUUAUAAUUUGGGACGAAGUCGCUAUGACAAAACGACAAGCAGUUGAGACGCUUGAUAGAUCACUACAGGAUAUAAUGGAAUGUUCUUUGCCAUUUGGAGGAAAGGUUGUUGUCUUUGGUGGUGAUUUCAGGCAGGUCCUACCCGUUGUGACACGUGGGAAAAGAGCACAGAUAACGGAUGCCACACUUCUGAGAUCCUAUCUUUGGGAGAAGACCCGCAAGAUACGUCUCACGUGCAAUAUGCGGGCACAGGCUGAUCCUUGGUUCUCAGAAUACCUACUAAGGAUAGGGAAUGGAACUGAAGAGACAAUUGGCGACGAUUAUGUCCGUCUCCCCGAGGACAUUGUCAUUGGCUAUACCGAGGAUGAAAAAGCUAUUAACAUGCUCAUCGAAGAUGUCUUCCCAUCUUUGCAGGCCAAUGCUAGAUCGAGAGAGUACGUGAGUGCACGUGCUAUUCUUUCAACUAAGAACGAUCAUGUCGAUGACCUGAAUGACAAAAUGAUCUCCAGGUUUCCAAGCGAAGAGAAGUUAUACCAUAGUUUUGACUCAAUUGAGGAUGACUUGCAGAAUAAUUACACAAUUGAGUUUUUGAACUCAAUCACACCAAAUGGCUUGCCCCCGCAUGUUUUGAAAUUAAAGGUAAACUGUCCAGUCAUUCUGCUCCGGAAGCUCGACCCUCAUAAUGGUCUAUGCAAUGGAACACGGCUUAUGAUCAGAGCCUUUCAGGAUAAUGCAAUCGAUGCGGAGAUUGUUGGUGGUCAGCAUUCUGGAAAGAGGGUGUUUAUACCUAGGAUCCCUAUGUCACCCUCAGAGGACAUCUCACUUCCUUUCAAACUUAAGAGAAAACAGUGCCCCAUCCGCCUGAGUUUUUCCAUGACAAUUAACAAGGCACAGGGUCAGACCAUCCCAAAUGUCGGCAUUUACCUUCCCGAGCCAGUAUUCUCACAUGGGCAGCUAUAUGUUGCAUUGUCAAGAGGAGUGUUGAGAGAGACGACACGGAUUUUGGCCAAGCCAAACAAGGAUGUUGAUAAAUCCGGGAAAAGCACCAAGAACAUUGUCUACAGAGAUGUUUUGGAGAGAUGA